ACUCAAAGGAAUAGACGGGGGCCCGCACAAGCGGUGGAGCAUGUGGUUUAAUUCGACGCAACGCGAAGAACCUUACCUACUUUUGACAUCCUGCGAAGCCUGCUGAGAGGUGGGUGUGCCGUAAGGAGCGCAGAGACAGGUGCUGCAUGGCUGUCGUCAGCUCGUGUUGUGAGAUGUUGGGUUAAGUCCCGUAACGAGCGCAACCCUUGUUCUUAGUUGCCAUCAUUUAGUUGGGGACUCUAAGGAGACUGCCGGUGAGGAACCGGAGGAAGGCGGGGACGACGUCAAGUCAUCAUGGCCUUUAUAAGUAGGGCUACACACGUGCUACAAUGGGGCGUACAGAGGGUAGCCAACCCGCGAGGGGGAGCCAAUCUCACAAAGCGCCUCGUAGUCCGGAUUGGAGUCUGCAACUCGACUCCAUGAAGUUGGAAUCGCUAGUAAUCGCGAAUCAGCAGUGUCGCGGUGAAUACGUUCCCGGGCCUUGCACACACCGCCCGU
rnacentral:rRNA from 1 species